rnacentral:rRNA from 1 species
UACGGAGGGUGCAAGCGUUACUCGGACUUCCUGGGCGUAAAGCGCACGCAGGCGGUCUGUCAAGUCGGAUGUGAAAUCCCCGGGCUCAACCUGGGAACUGCAUUCGAAACUGGCAGGCUGGAGUCUCGUAGAGGGAGGUAGAAUUCCAGGUGUAGCGGUGAAAUGCGUAGAGAUCUGGAGGAAUACCGGUGGCAAAGGCGGCCGCCUGGACGAAGACUGACGCUCAGGUGCGAAAGCGUGGGGAGCAAACAGG